GCCCUCCCGCCUGGCUCUCGCCUCGGCCUGCGGCCGGGAUCCUCCGCCCGGGUCGCGCAGCGGAGGCCGAGGGCUGGGACGGGCGGCUGGGAAGUGGGAAAGGGAGCUCCUUUUGUCUUCUCUUCCCAUCCCCCAGGUUUGGGAAAGUUUUCCUUUUGGGAAAGCCCCUCUCUUCAGCCUGCUGGCGGGUGUCGGAUUGGUUAGCGACCACCGGCCCCCGCCUCCCCCAACAGGAUUCUCCUUUGGGCCACAGGUCUUCCGGAAGUUGCCAAACCCCGGUAGCGGCAGCGUCCGGCUGGGGGCUUUAUUAGGGGGCACCGGGGUCUGCUUUCCGACUCCCUUCCGACUCCGCGCCUGCGCAGGAAGCGAUUUGGGGAGUGUUGUGAAUUCCGAGGGCUCCACACUUAAGAGGUUGUACACUCACCUGUCUACCUGGACUCCAAUUUCCAUAUUUCCAGCCACUUGAGGACUGAGAGGUGGAUGAUAAACCCUGUCAUAGUGGAGCAAGUUCAGGUGUUUAACCGCUGUUAUGGGGGAUCUGCCUUUUCUCCCUCUUCUUUCUUACUUCCAUAAGUAUGUAUGUGCAGAGAUUGAAAAAUAACCUUGAGAGAGUCCAUCCAUCUAACUCCAGUUCAUUGGAAAUUUCUGCUUCUUUGAGACUGAGGUUAUAUUCCACUUCUUCUGACUACACCACCACCAUCAAUCUCCUUCUCUGAACUCUUGGAUCAUUACUUCAACCUGAAACAACUCAUCAGGCAGAAUAGUUGCCUACUGCCCCAACCCCACCAAAUGUUCCAGCACCUCUGAUAUUACCUCACAUGGCAAGAGGGCUUUGAAGAUGUGAUUGAGUCAAGGAUCUUGAAUGGGGAGAUUAUCCUGAAUUAUUCAGCUGGACCCAGUGUAAUCACAAAGGUUUUUCAAAGAUGGAAGAGAGGCAGAAGAGCCAGAAAAGGAUAUGUGACAAUGGAGUCAGUGUCAGAGUUGGAGUGACGUGAUGUGAGAAGGAUUCAACCUGCUGUUUCUGGCUUUGAGGAUGAAAGAAGGGGCCAUGAGCCAAGCAAUACAGGUGGCUUCUUUCAAGAAGUUGGAAAAGCCUAGGUCAAAAAGAUAUUGGAGCUUCCAACUUGCUCCUUUUUGCAUUGCUCCUCUGAGGAAAACCCAACUGCCAUGUCCUGAGGAUGCUCACAUCUACAGAGAGUUUACAUGGAGAGAAACUGAAGUCUCCAGCCAAGACCCAGCAUCAACUUCCCAGUUACGUGAGUGAGCCAUCUUGGAAGCAAAUUUUGCAGCACCAGUAAAGUGUUUAGAUAACUGCAACCCCUUUCGACAUCUUUUAUUUAUUUAUUAUUAUUAUACUUUCAGUUUUAGGGUACUUGCGCACAAUGUGCAGGUUAGUUACAUAUGUAUAGAUGUGCCAUGUUGUUGUGCUGCACCCAGUAACUCGUCAUUUAACAUUAGGUAUAUCUCCUCAUGCUAUCCUUCCUCCCCACCCCACCCCACAACAGGCUCUGGUGUGUGAUGUUCCCCUUCCUGUGUCCAUGUGUUCUCAUUGUUCAAUUCCCACCUGUGAGUGAGAACAUGCAGUGUUUGGUUUUUUUGUGCUUGUGAUAGUUUGCUGAGAAUGAUGGUUUCCAGCUUCAUCCAUGUCCCUACAAAGGAUAUGAACUCAUCAUUUUUUAUGGCUGCAUAGUAUUCCAUGGUGUAUAUGUGCCACAUUUUCUUAAUCCAGUCUAUCAUCGAUGGACAUUUGGGUUGGUUCCAAGUCUUUGCUAUUGUGAAUAGUGCCGCAAUAAACUUACCUGUGCCUGUGUCUUUAUAGCAGCAUGAUUUAUAAUCCUUUGGGUAUAUACCCAGUAAUGGGAUGGCUGGGUCAAAUGGUAUUUCUAGUUCUAGAUCCCUGAGGAAUUGCCACACUGACUUCCACAAUGGUUGAACUAGCUUACAGUCCCACCAACAGUGUAAAAGUGUUCCUAUUUCUCCACAUCCUCUCCAGCACCUGUUGUUUCCUGACAUUUUAAUGAUUGCUAUUCUAACUGGUGUGAGAUGGUAUCUCAUUGUGGUUUUGAUUUGCAUUUCUCUGAUGGCCAGUGAUGAUGACCAUUUUUUCAUGUGUCUGUUGGCUGCAUAAAUAUCUUCUUUUGAGAAGUGUCUGUUCAUAUCCUACGCCCACUUUUUGAUGGGGUUGUUUGUUUUUUUCUUGUAAAUUUGUUUGAGUUCAUUGUAGAUUCUGGAUAUUAGCCCUUUGUCAGAUGAGUAGAUUGCAAAAAUUUUCUCCCAUUCUGUAGGUUGCCUGUUCACUCUGAUGGUAGUCUCUUUUGCUGUGCAGAAGCUCUUUAGUUUAAUUAGAUCCCAUUUGUCAAUUUUGGCUUCUGUUGCCAUUGCUUUUGGUGUUUUAGACAUGAAGUCCUUGCCCAUGCCUGUGUCCUGAAUGGUAUUGCCUAGGUUUUAUUCAAGGGUUUUUAUGGUUUUAGGUCUAACAUUUAAGUCUUUAAUCCAUCUUGAAUUAAUUUUUGUAUAAGGUGUAAGGAAGGGAUCCAGUUUCAGCUUUCUACAUAUGGCUGCCAGUUUUCCCAGCACCAUUUAUUAAAGAGGGAAUCCUUUCCCCAUUUCUUG
rnacentral:lncRNA from 10 species